rnacentral:rRNA from 1 species
UGUAGUCAUAUGCUUGUCUCAAAGAUUAAGCCAUGCAUGUCUAAGUAUAAGCACUUUAUACUGUGAAACUGCGAAUGGCUCAUUAAAUCAGUUAUCGUUUAUUUGAUAGUACCUUACUACAUGGAUACCUGUGGUAAUUCUAGAGCUAAUACAUGCUAAAAACCCCGACUUCAGGAAGGGGUGUAUUUAUUAGAUAAAAAACCAACGCCCUUCGGGGCUCCUUGGUGAAUCAUAAUAACUUAACGAAUCGCAUGGCCUUGCGCCGGCGAUGGUUCAUUCAAAUUUCUGCCCUAUCAACUUUCGAUGGUAGGAUAGUGGCCUACCAUGGUGGCAACGGGUAACGGGGAAUGGGGCGGGGGCGGCGGGCCGGGCGCGGGGCGCGGCGGACGGCAAACU